GCGGGCCGUUCUCCGGCAGCACCGGGCCUCACGCUGUGAAGUCUGGGCGCGUCCACGUUUCCCUCCGCUCGAAUCGACACUUGGGAAAGUUUCUGGUGCUCGGAAUUCCCCUCUGCCUCCCCCCACUGCCGUAUCUUUAAACCGGGAUUCACUUCAAUAUUCCUCCUUGCCCGAGGCAUCGUGACCUGACUUCAGCCUCCGUACAGUCACGGUCAAAGGAAACCAACACAAGCAUGGAGCUUAUGUUACCUGCUGUGCCAUGGGCGAGAAAGUCUUUUGCCCCUGCCCCAGGAGUUUUGAGUCUUCUGUCAGCAUUUAUAAAACAGUAACAGGACAGAAGAAUUUGACUCCAACCUUCCAGUUAUAAAAAUGACAUUACACUUCCACGGAAAAAUCAAAACAUCCUGAUAUAGGAGCAAACAAGGAUUCUGAAGACCCGUAUGUAGCAUGGUGUGAAGCUGAUGAGGCCAGGAGGCGAACCCCAGUCAGUCCCAUGGAACCUGGCUUCCUUUGCACAACACCUAACUGCUACACCUUGGAGCUGGCCCUAUUUUGCUAAUAUCUUUCUCACAUCUUUGAUAGUCAGUGAGAAUCUCACUGCACAGUACAGCUAGAAUCUUUCCCUCUUGAACUGUUGCAAAAGUCUCAAGAAGCAAUUCUUGAAUAUAAAAUAAAUUAAUUUUAAAAAA